rnacentral:rRNA from 1 species
GAUGAACGCUGGCGGCGUGCCUAAUACAUGCAAGUCGAGCGAACAGAUGAGGAGCUUGCUCCUCUGACGUUAGCGGCGGACGGGUGAGUAACACGUGGAUAACCUACCUAUAAGACUGGGAUAACUUCGGGAAACCGGAGCUAAUACCGGAUAAUAUAUUGAACCGCAUGGUUCAAUAGUGAAAGACGGUUUUGCUGUCACUUAUAGAUGGAUCCGCGCCGCAUUAGCUAGUUGGUAAGGUAACGGCUUACCAAGGCAACGAUGCGUAGCCGACCUGAGAGGGUGAUCGGCCACACUGGAACUGAGACCCGGUCCAGCCUCCUACGGGAGGCACCAGUAGGGAAUCUUCCGCAAUGGGCGAAAGCCUGACGGAGCAACGCCGCGUGAGGGAUGAAGGUCUUCGGAUCGUAAAACUCUGUUAUUAGGGAAGAACAAAUGUGUAAGUAACUAUGCACGUCUUGACGGUACCUAAUCAGAAAGCCACGGCUAACUACGUG